ensembl:lncRNA
CAGUUAUUGGUGUGCCCAAAAAUGUUAAUGUUCCUGCAAAUUGAUGAAGUGUUGACUAUGAAUAGUCUUUUUUGUGGUCAAUAUGAUAAUACAACGGCUCAAUAAUGGCGCACUUAGCAAUUUGAAUAAGAAUACUUAUAUGCAAAUAUAUGUGCCAGGUGCAAAAUAAAUACAAAGGACUAUCAAUCAGCAGAUUAUCAUUUGCAGGGAAGAGACAAAGAAACAAACAAUACUAUUUAGUGUAGAAAACAACACUGAAAGAAUUAAAUGGAUCAUUUAGAAUAUAUGCUUGCAUUUCAGUGUCAUCAAAAAAUAGCCACGACAUAAUAAAUACACUUCCACUGACAGCCAUUGGGCCGUUAAACAGACCGUUUGUCCUCGCUGUGAAAAUCGUCCUGGUGUGAACAGGGCUUUAGGCUAACACACAACAUGAAGGUUAAAACGCAUACAAGACCAGACCUAUCAUUUCACCACAUCACACUGAAACUAUCAUUUAAAAGAACUUCAUCCUCAGUUUUAAUGAAAUUUUCAUUUCAAGGAAAAGACCGCCACUUGCUGGGAGCAAAUUAAACAAAUUGGUUUUUUAUUUAUUUCCCAGAAAAAAAGAGUCUGUUGUGAAUUUUUCUUGGAAUAUAAGGCAUUCAGGAUCCACCUUCCGUUUCUUUGAAAGAGACAUUUUCACAUACCCACAUUUUCACCCUACGUUUGAGAGAUUACAAGUAACCUUUAGCAACAGUAGGCACGUAUAGCCUAAGGAUGAUGACUAGAGGACCUUUAGUGGAUAUAUAAGUAACUGCAUCUGGGUGUGGAUAAUUCUUUACAUUUCCAUUACAUCACUGCCUUACACGGGCCGCAUGGAAUCAUCAGGCGGGCCGGGUAUGGCCCAUGGGCCAUAUGUUUUGCAUACAGCUGCAAUCAAAAUUAUUCAAUCCCCAUUGCAAAUCAGGUUUAUUGUCAAAAUUUACAGACUUUCUGCUGUUUGCAAUGAACAAAUCAUUGCACACAGCUAAGCCUUGGUGGAAUUUGAGGUAUGCUUGGGAUCAUUGUCCUGUUGUACGGUCCAUUGAUGCAAUGAACAAAUCAUUGCACACAGCUAUGCAAUGAUUUGUUCAUUGCAUCAGUGGACUGUCGAACAGGACAAUGAUCCCAAGCAUACCUCAAAUUCCACCAAGGCUUAGUUGCUGAAGAAGUCCUGGAAGAUUCUACAGGGCCAUCACAAUAACCCAAGAAUAUUAUUACUGAUCUAUUUCAAUUGAUUUUGUUUGAUUUGUUCAUUGCAAACAGCUGAAAGUCUGUAAAUGUUUAAUAAUUAAGGGUUGAAUAAUUAGGGGCCAAGCACUGAAGCAUUUGCACUAACCUUUCAACCUCUUGGCAUACAAAUAAAUGCCUCUCUUCUGUUCAUUUCCGAUUCAAACAGCUGGGCUUCUGAACCUAUCUUUUAUUCAUUCAUGUAUAUUCUAUUUCUCCUCUUUGUGUUCUUCAGGCUCUGAAUUGCGCUUCUUUGCCUUUGGUGCUUGGCCCCUUUAAACACUGCUUGCAGCUUUAAUUUUGAUUGCAACUGUAUGAGAAACAAUGACUGAUAUUAUGAUUGUGAUUGUACAGUUAGAUUAUCCUAAUAAGCCAUCUAUUCUUUUUCUUUAUGUGACAUCCUGUAUGGCAUUCAUGUUUGAAUAUGUGUGUCCUGCAGGUGAUCCAACACGGCCACUUCCAGGUGAGUCAUCUUCCUUUGUAACCUUAUUUCCUGUCUAAAUUUCUUUUACAUUUGAAUUGGAUUUAAAUCCUGCAACCGUCUCUUACUGCCUUAAGCUUAAUAAAUUUAAAUAGAUUUCUGGGACAGCAGAUUUGGAGUACAUUCACAUGUUCUUUCUCCCUCUCUAUCUGUAUCACUUAACUUUAGUAAAAAUACUACACAUUCUGAAAACCCAUGACUCAUGUUGAAUGUUAUAUAUUAUAUUACAGUUGCAACCACAUUGAUCAGCACUUCUCAUUCACCUGUCACUCUGUCAUGGUUCAGUCCAACACCAAAGACACAUCCCACUACUACAGAACCAGAAAGCAUUUCCACAACAACUGCCACAAAGGGCAUCACUGCAGGGAGUAUAAUACUUGUCAUUAUUGCUGGCUUGGCAGCAGCCAUUCUUUUUUGGCGUAAACGUUCAAAGCUACGGAGCACUUCCCAUCCUAUAGAAAUGACGAUCCAGAAUCCUGACUCAGAUCAGCCCUUAAUAAUGGCCUCCCCUAUCACGAUCAGCUGUCCUCCAGACUCCGUCCAACCUCUAUUCACUCCUUUUGAAGACUCUCCUAAGGGCAUAUAUACAAAUGUUCCCCUGUCUGCCUAAAAUGCGGACCAGGGCAAGUUAUAUAGAAAUUAUUUCAUGUGUGGCCAACAGCGUUAUGAUCAAAAAAGCCAUGUGUACAAUAAAAAUGCAGUAUACAUUCUUGAAACAAUGAAAACUACAUGAAAAUGAAUGACAGGAUUUAAAAAAUUAUACUUCUGAGCAUCCUUCAGUGUAAUGGGCCGUUUUAUUCUAAUAUUUUCCAGCUCAUUUUGCUCAUUUCUGCACAGGUACAGUUUUAUUUGCUUUAUCUGUGUUGCAUGGCAUGUGUAUGUGCUCUCAGUAACUUGUCAGAGAUAUGUGUUCACUUAAAGUGCAGAAAUGGCCUUUAAUCUAAUGAAUUAUGGAACGUCAUUCAUAUUCAGGUAAUAUUUUGGUAUUUUAUAUUUUAUUUUAAGUUUUUUUGUGCAGUAAAUAUUGGAUACAGGUAGCUUUUUAUCUCGUUAAACAGGCAG